rnacentral:rRNA from 1 species
GACGAACGCUGGCGGCGUGCUUAACACAUGCAAGUCGAACGCUGAAGCCCCUUUCGGGGGGUGGAUGAGUGGCGAACGGGUGAGUAACACGUGGGCAAUCUACCCUGCACUCUGGGAUAAGCCUUGGAAACGAGGUCUAAUACCGGAUAGGACACGCUGUCGCAUGGCGGUGUGUGGAAAGUGUGUGAGCGGUGUGGGAUGAGCCCGCGGCCUAUCAGCUUGUUGGUGCGGUGAUGGCGUACCAAGGCGACGACGGGUAGCCGGCCUAAGAGGGUGAUCGGCCACACUGGGACUGAGAUACGGCCCAGACUCCUACGGGAGGCAGCAGUGGGGAAUCUUGCGCAAUGGGCGAAAGCCUGACGCAGCAACGCCGCGUGGGGGAUGACGGCCUUCGGGUUGUAAACCCCUUUCGGUCCCGACGAAGGCUCCGGUUUUCCGGGGUGGACGGUAGGGGCAGAAGAAGCACCGGCUAACUACGUGCCAGCAGCCGCAGUAACAC